AGGGAUGAGUGUGGACAUUUCCGGUGUGUCUCACCUUCAUUUGAGUUGAGGAUGUUUGCUGGAGGGGAAAGAGGCAGCCAAAACCAACUGUGAGCAAGUACUUUUGAAGACAAAUUCCCAGGCAUAUUCUCGACUCAGCUAUAGUUGAAGGUCAUUUUCUUCAAUUCCUGAAAGAAAUGUAUUAGCUGCGUUCAUCCUUGGAAGAUGGACUUUGAGAAUCACAACUAGAGCUACUGUUGCUGUUGAGCUGCUUCCUACGUGGCAGGCCUCCAAGAAGCUGAGAUUAUUACUGGAUGUGUGAGAUACCUGGAACACAAACUAAAGAAGGGAAGCCGUGAUGGGGGUGUCAGCCAGGAUGGCAGGACAGGUAAAUUAGAUACAGAGCAAAGAAAUUAUUGAGUCACUAAUAUCAUCAAGACUGUUGUGUGGAAAUGUGUGCUCGGGCACAACUGUUUACCAUAAGAACUGGUUCCUGACUGCCAUAGAUUUUCUCACUUUUCUCUGGAGUUCUAAUCCAAAGUCACCCUGAAACAUAGCAAAAAAUUUUAUCCUUGAAUGAUUCACUUCCUGAACAGUACUUGGUCCUCUUAGUCAUUACUUUUGGGUGAGAGAGUAAAUGAAAUCAUACCACCAGUUAUAUUUUAGUCUUCAGAGAAAUGGUAGAUUGAUGAUUCUCUGGCCUUCUUAAAUCCCAACUUCAAAAAUAAGAAGCUAGAAAAAACUUAUUCACAUUUCUAGCUUUAAAAGGAGAUAAAAACCAAAUUAGCUAUCUUUGUUUAGCAAAGGUAUAGAAACGUUCUUCUAGUUAUAACCACCUAAAGAUUGAGGGACCUAUUUGUGUUCGUUGAGAGCUGAGUGAUACUAAAGGAAUUCAGAUUUGGAUAGGCUCAACACUUGUCUUAUACAACACUGCAAGGGUUCAGAUCAUAGGUUUAAGCAAAUAAUCUUUAUAGCCACUUUCAAUUUUGGGUGGCAUAUUUAAAUAAUAAGAGCUAUUCAUGCUUAAGAACAAUUGGGGUUUUAAAAAAGAAAAGAAACUUUGGCGAGCUUGUGUUUUCCCAUUUGCUCUUCUAAUUAUCACCACACCAGUACUCUACCAAUAUAUAGGAAGCAAAUAGAUGAAGAGUAUGUUUGGUAAAAGAAUAAUAAUCCUAAAUUGUGUGUCAAGACAACAGAUACAAUUUUAUUUCUUAUGGAACUGUUCAUGGAUUGCCAAGUAACUCAUCUAGACUUUUCAUACUUUCUCUUGAAGCUGUUUUUAAAGUCAGCAAAAAUAAAGAGUGAUCAGCUGUAAUUUAAGUCAUAAAUAAUCAGCACAAAGAAUAUGGAUGAAUAACAGUUGGAGGGCUGGAAGCUGACUGUAGUUAUUAGUGCUGAUCUAAAACAAAAGGACUCAUAAAGCAAAAUGGGGUUUCCUUGUAUUUUCUGUUAUCUAGCUUCAGUAAAUUUCUGCUUUAAAUAACUGAAAGUCACUUUUUUGUCUUCUUUCUGAACAAAGGCUUCUCUCUAAAUGCAUGUGAAGUUUUCAUGUGAUAUGCUUACUAAUGGGCCAGAGGUCCUCAUUUUGUCUAAAUAAAUAUUAUAUGGAGUACUCUU